rnacentral:lncRNA from 1 species
AAAUAAUAAAUCUCGGAUAGGCCAGAAAAGGUCCUGCUCUCCUCCAGUUAGCCAUGGCCUGGCACUCAAGUGGGUUCACACUCUCCACACGUAUACUAAAGUCCAUCUCAGUUCAGGUACAGCAAAUAAAUUAAUUUAUCUGGUUAUUCUCAACAAGAUCCAUUCAGUGAUGAGUAGAGAUAGUGUUCCUCCACCUGGGAGGUUUGAAGAACAGUCUUUCUGUGCUACUCGAAGGCUUACAUUCUUUUAUAUCCUCCCCCACCCCUUUGCUUUCACAUCGCAGCAAAAGGCACGCCUCUCAAUGCUUCUUCGGCAUCGCGAGGGUUAAUCCCACCGAACAGGACCUUAGCCCCACCCCUCCUUCGUGUCACCCUCCGGAAACAGCCGAUUGGCGGAGCCGGGUGAGCAUCGUCGACCUCCCAUUGGCUGGGGCGGGCGGACACGUCAAUCAUGUGGGUAGCGCUUGUUAGCUGGCUCGCUGGGGGAAGGAAAACUUCCUUGUUAUUGUGACAACCCCCCCGCCCGCGGGAAACCUGCGCCAGAGGUGCGGCCAACAUCUGGGAAAGUCUCCCCCCCCCCGGGGCGGUGGUUAGGAGAACCUCGCAGCAAGCCGGAGCCCGGUGAGCGGUGCCUUUCAUUUCGGGGUAUUGUAAGCUGGGAGGAUGCUCCCUCUGCCUUUGCAAGGGCUUAUUACGCGGAGGCGAGAGAAAGGGAUGAUGAUGAUGAUGAUGACGACUCCUGGGCUCCGCUUUUCGGGGGGUCGUGGGGACGGACUUCAGCACAUUUAGGUGGAUUGUUAAACCAGCUGUGGUUCAGUCCUGUGAAGCUUUCACGGAAACGCUUGUGGUUUGAAAGGGGAAAAUAUG